UACGGAGGGUGCGAGCGUUGUCCGGAAUCACUGGGCGUAAAGGGCGCGUAGGCGGCCUGAUAAGUAGGGGGUGAAAUCCUGUGGCUUAACCGCAGGGCUGCCUUCUAAACUGUCGGGCUAGAGCACAGUAGAGGCAGGUGGAAUUCCCGGUGUAGCGGUGGAAUGCGUAGAGAUCGAGAGGCACACCAGUGGCGAAGGCGAGUCCCUGGACAAAUCCUGACGCUGAGGCACGAAAGCUAGGGGAGCAAACAGG
rnacentral:rRNA from 1 species